rnacentral:tRNA from 1 species
GCGGAGGUGCUGGAAUGGAAGACAGGCAUGUUUGAGGGGCAUGUGCAAUUAUUUGCGUGAGGGUUCAAGUCCCUUUCUCCGCACCA